rnacentral:rRNA from 1 species
GUAGGUGGCAAGCGUUGUCCGGAAUUAUUGGGCGUAAAGCGCGCGCAGGCGGUCCUUUAAGUCUGAUGUGAAAGCCCGCGGCUCAACCGUGGAGGGUCAUUGGAAACUGGGGGACUUGAGUACAGAAGAGGAAAGCGGAAUUCCAAGUGUAGCGGUGAAAUGCGUAGAGAUUUGGAGGAACACCAGUGGCGAAGGCGGCUUUCUGGUCUGUAACUGACGCUGAGGCGCGAAAGCGUGGGGAGCAAACAGGAUUAGAUACCCUGGUAGUCCACGCCGUAAACGAUGAGUGCUAAGUGUUAGGGGGUUUCCGCCCCCCUUAGUGCUGCAGCUAACGCAUUAAGCACUCCGCCUGGGGAGUACGGCCGCAAGGCUG